UACGGGGGGGGGCAAGCGUUGUUCGGAAUUACUGGGCGUAAAGGGUUCGUAGGUGGCCAACUAAGUCAUACGUGAAAUCCCUCAGCUUAACUGGGGAACUGCGUCUGAUACUGGUUGGCUUGAGUGCAGGAGAGGAACGCGGAAUUCCAGGUGUAGCGGUGAAAUGCGUAGAUAUCUGGAGGAACACCGGUGGCGAAGGCGGGUCUCUGGGCAACAACUGACGCUGAGGAGCGAAAAGCGUGGGGGAGCGAACAGG
rnacentral:rRNA from 1 species